UGUUGUCUUGAGAACACUGUUGUUCUAUC
rnacentral:piRNA from 1 species